CUGCCGGACCUGACUGCUAUCUGAUUGGUACUAAGCCAUGCGAGUGAUCGAGCAAUACGACGCAGACGGCUCAGUAACACGUAGUCAACCUAACCUGUGGACGUGGAUAAUCUCGGGAAACUGAGGAUAAACCACGAUAGAUAACGGUGCCUGGAAUGGCCCAUUGUCCAAACAGUUUACUGCCACGGGAUGGGACUGCGGCCUAUCAGCUUGUUGGUGAGGUAAUGGCCCACCAAGGCUAUAACAGGUACGGGCUCUGAGAGGAGAAGCCCGGAGAUGGGUACUGAGACACGGACCCAGGCCCUAUGGGGCGCAGCAGGCGAGAAACCUUAGCAAUGUGCGAAAGCACGACUGGGUCAGUCCGAGUGAUUUCUGAUAAAGGAAUCUUUUGCUAGUCCUAAAAGCACUAGCGGAUAAGGGGUGGGCAAGUCUGGUGUCAGCCGCCGCGGUAAUACCAGCACCUCGAGUGGUCAGGACGAUUAUUGGGCCUAAAGCAUCCGUAGCUGGUUUUGCAAGUCUCCGGUUAAAUCCACCUGCUCAACAGAUGGGCCGCUGGAGAUACUACAAAACUAGGGAGUGGGAGAGG
rnacentral:rRNA from 1 species